GGCCGCGGGAAUUCGAUUCAGGCCUAACACAUGCAAGUCGAACGGUAACAGGGUGCUUGCACCGCUGACGAGUGGCGAACGGGUGAGUAAUGCGUCGGAACGUGCCGAGUAGUGGGGGAUAACGCAGCGAAAGUUGUGCUAAUACCGCAUACGUACUGAGGUAGAAAGUGGGGGACCUUCGGGCCUCACGCUAUUCGAGCGGCCGACGUCUGAUUAGCUAGUAGGUGAGGUAAAGGCUCACCUAGGCGACGAUCAGUAGCGGGUCUGAGAGGAUGAUCCGCCACACUGGGACUGAGACACGGCCCAGACUCCUACGGGAGGCAGCAGUGGGGAAUUUUGGACAAUGGGCGAAAGCCUGAUCCAGCCAUGCCGCGUGUCUGAAGAAGGCCUUCGGGUUGUAAAGGACUUUUGUCAGGGAGGAAAUCCCUAGCGUUAAUACCGCUGGGGGAUGACAGUACCGAAGAAUAAG
rnacentral:rRNA from 1 species